GUAGUCCACGCUGUAAACGAUGGAUAUUAGAUGUCGGAAGACUUACCCUUUCGGUGUCGCCGCUAACGCAAUAAAUAUCCCGCCUGGGGAGUACGGUCGCAAGAUUAAAACUCAAAGAAAUUGACGGGGGCCCGCACAAGCGGUGGAGUAUGUGGUUUAAUUCGACGCAACGCGAAAAACCUUACCUGGGCUUGACAUACCGCGCUAACCCGUGAAAGCGGGCGUUCCCUUCGGGGACGCGGAUACAGGUGCUGCAUGGCUGUCGUCAGCUCGUGUCGUGAGAUGUUGGGUUAAGUCCCGCAACGAGCGCAACCCUUGCCAUUAGUUGCCAUCAUUAAGUUGGGCACUCUAGUGGGACCGCUUGCCGAUAAGGCAGA
rnacentral:rRNA from 1 species